rnacentral:rRNA from 1 species
CCUACGGGCGGCAGCAGUGAGGAAUAUUGGUCAAUGGGCGCGAGCCUGAACCAGCCAUGCCGCGUGAAGGAUGACUGCCCUACGGGUUGUAAACUUCUUUUAUAAGGGAAUAAAGUCAGGUACGUGUGCCUGUUUGUAUGUAUUUUAUGAAUAAGGAUCGGCUAACUCCGUGCCAGCAGCCGCGGUAAUACGGAGGAUUCGAGCGUUAUCCGGAUUUAUUGGGUUUAAAGGGAGCGUAGGCGGUCUGUUAAGUUAGAUGUGAAAUUUUGCGGCUCAACCGUAGAAUUGCAUUUGAUACUGGCAGUCUUGAGUAUAGUUGAGGUAGGCGGAAUGCAUGGUGUAGCGGUGAAAUGCUUAGAGAUCACACAGAACUCCGAUUGCGAAGGCAGCUUACUAAGCUACCACUGACAUUGAGGCUCGAAAGUGUGGGGAUCAAACAGGAUUAGAUACCCGGGUAGUC